AUAAAUCGAAUAUUACGAAUAUAAAUUUAAAAUUCAAAGAAUUUGGCGGUAUCUUAAAUAUUCAGGGGAACCUGUCUCAUAACUCGAUAGACCACGAUCUCUCAACCCUCUAUAGAACUAACAGCCUGUAUACUGCCGUCGUAAGUAUACCCCUAAAGGUACCAGUAUACUUAAAUGAUACUACACCAUUUACGUCAGGUCAAAGUGCAGCUAAUGGAAGGAGACGAUGGGUUACAACCUCAAAAAAGAACAUGAAUUAGAGAUGCUAAAAAUCUCAUGAAAGUGGACCUGAAUGUAAUUGUUGUACAAUGCCACAAUAAACAAAAAUCUAAGAUAUGCACACAUCGCCCG
rnacentral:rRNA from 1 species